GAUCUCCGUCCAGAAUCUUCCAGCUCCAGCUCCAGCCCCGCUCCUCUCCUCUCCUCUCCUCUGCUUUUGCUUUCCAUUUUGUUCUCUCUCGUCUCCCCCCCCCCCCCGUCGCCGACCAGUCCACCGCCGCCACCUCCUCAACCUCGCGCAGCCGGUCUCUUACCGCACGGUGUCCCGGUCUCCCACGAGGGAGCACCCGCCGAAGCGAAAGCAGCGGUCGCCUGCUGAAGGAGGAGCCACCCCCGCCGCUGGAGUAGGGACACCGGGACAGGGAGGCGUGACGUCCGGGAGGGGAUGGACGACGGCGACAGCGCCGUCCGGAGCGCCGACAGGGCUGGCGCCGCCCCUGGCGACGACGGCAGCGCCAUGCCGCUCCCCGAGACGGUUCAAAUUGGCAAUUCGCCUACCUAUAGACUUGACAGAAAACUUGGAAAGGGAGGAUUUGGGCAAGUAUAUGUUGGUUGCCGUAUUCCCCCUCCUAGUGUUAGUGACAGGACACCUGGUGCAAAUGCUUUGGAGGUUGCAAUAAAAUUUGAACAUCGAACCAGCAAAGGUUGCAACUAUGGUGCCCCCUAUGAGUGGCAAGUGUACAACACUCUUAGUGGAAUUCAUGGAGUACCAAGAGUACACUACAAGGGGAAGCAGGGAGAGUAUUAUAUCAUGAUUAUGGACAUGUUGGGACCAAGCCUCUGGGAUGUUUGGAAUAAUAACUCCCACUCCAUGUCUGUUGAAAUGGUUGCUUGCAUUGCCAUAGAAGCAAUUUCCAUAUUGGAGAAGAUGCAUUCAAAAGGGUAUGUCCAUGGAGAUGUAAAACCUGAAAACUUUUUGCUUGGACCUCCAGGCACCCUGGAAGAGAAGAAACUGUUUCUUGUUGACCUUGGUUUAGCUACUAGAUGGAGAGACACUGGUACAGGAGAGCAUGUCGAAUAUGAUCAGAGGCCUGACGUCUUUAGGGGAACUGUGCGCUAUGCUAGUGUGCAUGCCCAUUUGGGAAGAACUGGAAGCAGGAGGGAUGACCUUGAAUCCCUUGCAUACACACUUAUUUUUCUUCUGCGCGGUCGCCUUCCUUGGCAAGGAUAUCAGGGGGAGAAUAAAGGUUUCCUUGUUUGUAAGAAAAAGAUGGCAAUUUCCCCAGAAUCUUUGUGUUGCUUUUGCCCGCAACCUUUCCGACAAUUUAUCGAGUAUGUUGUGAACUUAAAGUUUGAUGAAGAACCAAAUUAUGCAAAGUGCAUUUCUCUUUUUGAUGGCAUUGUUGGUCCAAACCCAGACAUAAGGCCAAUCAACACAGAUGGUGCUCAGAAGCUUAUAUAUCAGGUAGGCCAGAAGAGAGGCCGUCUUAUGAUGGAGGAAGAUGAUGAUGAGCAACCUAAGAAGAAGAUUAGGAUGGGGAUGCCUGCGACCCAAUGGAUUAGUGUUUAUAAUGCCAGGCGGCCUAUGAAACAGAGGUAUCACUAUAAUGUUGCAGACAGUAGGUUAGCACAGCAUAUUUCAAAAGGCAACGAGGAUGGAUUGUUCAUAAGCUCUGUUGCCUCUUGUUCAAAUCUGUGGGCUUUGAUAAUGGAUGCUGGCACUGGAUUUUCUUCUCAAAUAUAUGAACUUUCUCCAUAUUUUCUUCACAAGGAAUGGAUAAUGGAGCAGUGGGAGAAAAACUUCUAUAUUACUGCAUUAGCAGGUGCAAACAAUGGGAGUUCACUGGUGGUCAUGUCCAGAGGAACACAAUAUGCCCAGCAAUCCUACAAAGUAAGCGAUUCCUUUCCCUUCAAGUGGAUCAACAAAAAAUGGAAGGAGGGUUUCUAUGUUACUGCUAUGGCCACUGCAGGAAGCCGGUGGGCAGUGGUCAUGUCUCGUAAUGCUGGUUUUACAGCUCAGGUUGUGGAGCUUGAUUUCUUGUAUCCGAGUGAGGGUGUCCAUCGGCGUUGGGAUAAUGGAUUUCGCAUCACCUCGACAGCUGCGACAUGGGAUCAGGCAGCAUUUAUCCUGAGCAUCCCCAAAAGAAAGCCUGCUGAUGAGAUGCAGGAAACCCUAAGAACAUCUGCUUUUCCCAGCCAACAUGUGAAGGAUAAAUGGGCUAAAAAUCUGUACUUAGCUUCCGUUUGCUAUGGAAGAACGGUGUCAUGAGUUCCGCCCUGUUUGACUGGUGAUCUUUGUAGAGUUUAUAUGGACUCCUGAAUAGAUGCAGGAAACCCUAAGAACAUCUGCUUUUCCCAGCCAACAUGUGAAGGAUAAAUGGGCUAAAAAUCUGUACUUAGCUUCCAUUUGCUAUGGAAGAACGGUGUCAUGAGUUCCGCCCUGUUUGACUGGUGAUCUUUGUAGAGUUUAUAUGGACUCCUGAAUAGAUUUGAAAUUUUGAAGGGCGGACAUAGUUCUAAUUUAUGAUCUAUAAUUAACUAAUCCGAUAGAUGCGCAAGCCUGCCUCUGUUCCUUGAAUAGUUGCCCUUGCUGCCUAGCAUGGUUGUAGUAAGAAAUGUAUGUUUUUUAAGAGCUGUAUGAAAUGUAUGUUGCAGAGUUUGGGUGUUGUACUUUCCUGUCCAUAGAUUGUGUUGUAAGCUGUAAACUUGAUUACUUAUCAUGCUAGUUUCAAGUUAAUGUUUAACCCUGGAGAUAGGUAGCUAAAUUGUACAAACUCAAGCUGUCUCCGCUUCUUGUUCUGUUGCCGUUGAGGCUUUUCGUGCUUGGUAAUUUGGACCCUUUUGGACCCUUGAAAUGGUACCUCGAUUCUGUAGACCUCUAUUAUCU